UUUUUUCUGCCUGCAAAAUUCCCAAAUUUAUUUCUCUUUUUGUUGAAACAAUAUUUGUUCAAUAUUUAAUAUUUGAAUAUUCAAUUCAAUAUUCAAUAACUGAAAUAAGAAAAAAAUCUACUAUAUUCUGGGCUCGAACUCACAGAGACCCUCCAGCUUCUGCCUCUGAAGUGCUAAAAUCAAAGGCUUGAGCCACAAACUUCUAAAUUAAUUGUCUUCCCUGAUUUUAAAGAAAAGCAGAAAAGAAAGAAAAGAAGUCUCUGCUCAGAGGCCGUGUUGCAACCAUUGAUCAUUUAUGUUUAAUGUGAGAGUUGAGAGACAUUUGAAAUGACUGUGACAGAUGUUUUCACAUUGUUCCUGCUGGUCUGAUAAGAGAUGUAUUACCAGAAAAAGUAUGGAAACCUCAGAUUCCCCAGAGUUCAUUUGAGAUGAGGAUUGCUGACAAGAACAUUUGAAAAGAAAGGGUGGUGGGAUAGAUAGACAAUCCUUUAGAUGAAAGUAUAGCUCAAUAAAACACAGGCAGCUCCUCAGUGGGGACUAUACACUCUCUGCUUCAUCCAUUCACCAUGACUAUCAGCAUCAUGCUCCAGGCCAUAUGAUACAUUCUACCCCAGGAAGCCUAGAAAAGGGCAAUGCAAACUGACCUCUGUGUGCUCCUGGAAAAAACUAUUCUGUGUUUCAAAACAGGAAGAAACUGCUUAAGAAACAAGCACCAAAGACCAAAACCAUAAAAUAAAAAAAAAAAGAAAAAAAAAAAAGAAUCUCCUCUAUAUAGAGCAGUCCAUUCAUGCAGCACCAAUCUAGAAAGCUAAGAGCAAUUGUGUUAAGUAAUUUAUGUGUAGAUGAAAAGCUGUUUUUAAGUUACUUUAUGCUGUAGAGGAUAACCUAUCAUAAAUUCACUGCACUUUUAUUUGUGACUUAAGGAAAGCACUUCUUAGGUGAUUUUUAAAGUAAGGCUUUUACUAACCUCCUUCAAGUAUUGCCCACUCAUACCCAGCCCCAUGUCUCACACAGCCAGGGCCAAGGGGCUUGGUCCACCCCCAACCCGCAGCCAAGGCAUCUGUGAAACAUGGAAGCUAUUAGGCUGUGAUGUUACUUUGGGCUGCUUACUAAUGUCUUCUGUAUUUCAGAGGUGGUCUGCAGAGGUCAGCUAAUUGCAAUCCCAAUCUGACUGCUUAUUUGAACUUUGGAUGCUAAGGGCCCUGAACUGAUCCCCUGAAUUUAUCAUGGUCAUAAUUUAGUUAGCCACAGCUGCCUCAUUAGAUUUGAGACCCUUUCAAACGAAUAUUGAUUACUAUAGCUCCUCAUCAUCUGGUAACAGUGCGUACAACUAUCUAUUCUCCGGUUUCAUUUCCUUGGAGUAGUAAUUGGUGCACAUUUUUAAUUUUCUCCUUUUCUAGUCACAGGACUCAUGAAACGUUCUUAGACUAUAAUGACUUGACAAUUUGAAGAAGACCUUCAGCAACUUCAGGUGUUAGAUUUUCAUUUCCUUAAUUUUUCCUGGUCCUUUUAACCUGCCACCUAGUCUCCACUGUGUAUGUUAAACUCAAAUCCAAGCAUGGUGUUCUGUGGUAGCACUCCUCAUGCUCAGAUCAUCCCACUUGAGCUUUUCUUUGAAGAAGGGCAUAGCUAUGAGAAUACUCAUGGACUAAAAUGGGAAAUGUAUCGCUAGCUGAAUGAAACAUACAAAUGAGAAUGUUAGUAUGUGAAAACCAAAGGAAUCUACUUCUUAAUGUGGUUCUAUUUAACAGUCUGUACUAUCACUGAAAAGGGGAAAAAUAUAAAAAUGUAUCUCAUUCAUAAAAUUCUCCCUAUAAUGGUUUAUUAUUCAUCAUAACAAAGUUUUUGAAAUAACCCAAGAACUGUUCCAAACAAUACAGGAAAGGUCAAAAUCAUCAGCCAUCAUGGAGCUUUGGGUCUGAUGGAGAAGUGUCCUUGAAAAGAAGCAAUCAUGUCAUGGUAUUACAGGGACUCUGGUAGGUAAGAAUUGAAUGGUGAAGAUCUACAGAAGAGACACUAGGCAAAAUAAUGGACAGAGAAAUUUUCCUGAAAGCAGGUGACAUCCAGCUGUCAACAAACAAGCGAAAAGCCAUCUGAAUAUCAGUUGACUGAUCAGGGUGGAGAAAGAGCUUGGCACAGUCAAGAAGUGAGAGAUAACAAGGCAUGUGGAUGAGCAAGGACAGGUGACAUGCAGACAGAUGCAGCUGGGAGGUAGUCAGGACGUCCAUUCUAUAGAUUCACCAAAGGACGACACAGGAAGGACAUUUGGAGUGAUAGAGCCUGUAAGUGCUGGCUUGGGGGUACCAGUGAGUUUCCUUUAGAGGCUUCUAGUAGGAAUAAAUUGUGUCUCCAAUAGAGGAAAAUGUAUAGUUUAAUAGAUACUGUAUUUAAGAGGUAGCGGAAAUUCCUGAUUCCCUGAAUAUUUUACUAAAAGCAUCUUUGACUUAUUUUUUCUACUCAUUUAUAAUUCAUCCAUUCAUAUCAUGUCUAUGGCUCUCUUUCUCAACAAAUAUCAGAAUUUUGUGUUUAAAAAUUAUUUUUCUGGUGAGGUGACUUUGCCAUUCUUGUUACUCACCUCUAAUUGCUCUAUACUUUUUCAAACAUAAGUUGACAUAAUUGAAAAUGCCAUAGCUUGCCCAAAAGUACAUCAUAAAAAACAAAAUGGGCUAUAGAACCACAUUAAAAGAAUCACCUCUAUGGUGCUUUAAUUCCCCAGGCUUGUCAAAAGUUGUUCAAACAUUGCUUGCUGUCUUUGAAUAUAAAAUGUAGGCAGACAUGUACUAAUAUAUCAAAAAAAUGACACUUUGUCAAAGAGAGCUUUCAUGGGAGAAUGUUCUGAAUGUAAUGUUUUCUUUUAAAAAGAAUCCAACCUGUUUAACAUUCCAAAGCAAGCACGAAAGAACACAAAAUGCCUGAUCUCACUGCCAGUCGCCACAGUCAGCGUUAUCUGCACUUUACUAGCUUUUGUUAGACUCUAAAACCCUGUCUCC
rnacentral:lncRNA from 1 species